GACGAACGCUGGCGGCGUGCCUAAUACAUGCAAGUUGAGCGCUGAAGGUUGGUACUUGUACCAACUGGAUGAGCAGCGAACGGGUGAGUAACGCGUGGGGAAUCUGCCUUUGAGCGGGGGACAACAUUUGGAAACGAAUGCUAAUACCGCAUAAAAACUUUAACACAAGUUUUAAGUUUGAAAGAUGCAAUUGCAUCACUCAAAGAUGAUCCCGCGUUGUAUUAGCUAGUUGGUGAGGUAAAGGCUCACCAAGGCGAUGAUACAUAGCCGACCUGAGAGGGGGAUCGGCCAAAUUGGGACUGAGACACGGCCCAAACUCCUACGGGAGGCAGCAGUAGGGAAUCUUCGGCAAUGGACGAAAGUCUGACCGAGCAACGCCGCGUGAGUGAAGAAGGUUUUCGGAUCGUAAAACUCUGUUGGUAGAGAAGAACGUUGGUGAGAGUGGAAAGCUCAUCAAGUGACGGUAACUACCCAGAAAGGGACGGCUAACUACGUG
rnacentral:rRNA from 1 species